UACGGGGGGGGGCUAGCGUUGUUCGGAAUUACUGGGCGUAAAGGGCGCGUAGGCGGUCUACUAAGUUGGAUGUGAAAACUCUGGGCUUAACCCAGAGCCUGCAUUCAAAACUGAUAGGCUAGAGUUCUGGAGGGGAUAGCGGAAUUCCUGGUGUAGCGGUGAAAUGCGUAGAUAUCUGGAGGAACACCGGUGGCGAAGGCGGCAUUCUGGACCGAUAUUGACGCUGAGGAGCGAAAGCCAGGGGAGCAAAGCGGG
rnacentral:rRNA from 1 species